rnacentral:rRNA from 1 species
AUGAAAAUCAAGGUUUUCUCCUGGAUGAUGAUCAUGGACAGGCUCAACACCCAAGAUAUGUUACUGCGCAGGCACUGGAAUGUGUCUGACUCCCCUGCUUGUGUCCUUUGCCUAAGGAAUCAUCGAGAGGAUAGAGACCACCUAUUUUUUAACUGCAGAUUUAGACACAGAGUAUGGAAUUUUUUGCAAAUAUAUUGGCCUCCAGGGGAGGAUCAGGUGGAGACUGUUAUGCAAGCUAGGACAGACUUUGCUAAGCCAUUUUUACUGAGGUGUGUUCAUAGCCAGCUGGAACAUUUGGACCAUUAG